CUGAUUGAGUGCCAGCCGUAUGCCAGUCACCACUCAGGCUGCGAAGAUUCACCACGAGACAGGCCCAGGCAUGAGACGGAGCUUAUGAUCUGGAGGAGACAGACAGGCAAUGAACACACAAUAAGCAAAUGAGCAGCAAAUCAACAAACAGGCUGAUCGUUUCAGAAAAUGAAUGAGGGAGAGCUGGACAGCUGGAGGAGAUGGCAGUGACAGUCAGACUCAGAUGGAAAUGAAAAAACUAAAGAACAGUACUCUGCAAAUGAUCUAGUGUGAUGAUAAGAGAAAAUGAAGAACUUUUCAAAACUCUAUGGGAAGCAGCAGAGUCGAGUUGAAGGAGCUGGAAGACGGCCAUUAGAAUGGUCUUUAUUCUUCCACCAGUUGAAGGAGGUUGGAAGAUGAAUCUUGCUGAACUUCAGCAUAUGGGAAACGACUUCGGGGCUACCUGAGUAUUCCAUCUUGUAAUGUUGAUAAAAGAACCAAAUGAAACAGCAUGCAGUGAAGAAUUUUGUAAGUCCUAAGUAAGUACACAAAUGUG